AAGAGAUUAAGAAAUUAAAAUAGCUGCUAACUAAUUUUAAAAGCGGUUUAAAUCCGUUUAUCUCUUU
rnacentral:tRNA from 1 species